rnacentral:lncRNA from 1 species
UAGCAUCUAAGACACCUUUUUUUAUAUUUUGAUAGAUGAAAAGUGCUCUUCUGACCGGGAAUGAGCACCUGAGCCCCUGGUUGAGGUUGGGCAUGCCAAGGAGCCAGCAUUAUCACUAUGAAACAACACUACCUGUAUCAGCAGUGACAACGAGUGGCUCUGCCUGGGACCUGCCGAGUGGAAUUAGUCUCUAAGGCUCAGAAAAUCUUUUCUGAACCUCUAACCCAAAAAGCACACACAGGGGGCACUUUUUUUUGCAAAGCAAUAUGAGAUACAAACCUCAUUUCAGCCUUUCACAUCCACCAAAUUACCCAAAACACCAUUCAGCUGUGCUACAUGCCACAUGCAAGACUCAAGCAGUCAGUGAGGAGGGAGCCCACACCAGCAUGGAUGGACACGUGAGCUGUCAUCAGCAAUGUACACUGCAGCUGCAUCACCAGGACCUGUAUUUUUCUACUUGUUUUUAUAUCAUAUCCUAUAAAAAGUCAGCUUGGGGCUCUGACAGUCUGCAGGGGAAGCAGGUGGGAAGCUCUCGGAAGACUCAGCAAUCAGUUCCUGUUCCUAAGAAGAACCCUGUGAAAUCAUUCUGGACACCUGCAAAUGCCUUCAUAUCUUAAAGUGAGUAAUUACACUU